GGAUAUAGCUCAGUGGUAGAGCAUAUGCUUAGUAUGCACGAGGCCCUGGGUUCAAUCCCCAGUACCUCCA
rnacentral:tRNA from 1 species